GAUGAACGCUGGCGGCGUGCCUAAUACAUGCAAGUCGAGCGAACAGACGAGGAGCUUGCUCCUCUGACGUUAGCGGCGGACGGGUGAGUAACACGUGGAUAACCUACCUAUAAGACUGGGAUAACUUCGGGAAACCGGAGCUAAUACCGGAUAAUAUAUUGAACCGCAUGGUUCAAUAGUGAAAGACGGUUUUGCUGUCACUUAUAGAUGGAUCCGCGCCGCAUUAGCUAGUUGGUAAGGUAACGGCUUACCAAGGCAACGAUGCGUAUCCGACCUGAGAGGGUGAUCGGCCACACUGGAACUGAGACACGGUCCAGACUCCUACGGGAGGCAGCAGUAGGGAAUCUUCCGCAAUGGGCGAAAGCCUGACGGAGCAACGCCGCGUGAGUGAUGAAGGUCUUCGGAUCGUAAAACUCUGUUAUUAGGGAAGAACAAAUGUGUAAGUAACUAUGCACGUCUUGACGGUACCUAAUCAGAAAGCCACGGCUAACUACGGG
rnacentral:rRNA from 1 species